GACGAACGCUGGCGGCGUGCUUAACACAUGCAAGUCGAACGGUGAAGCCCUUCGGGGUGGAUCAGUGGCUAACGGGUGAGUAACACGUGAGCAACCUGCCCCUGUCUCUGGGACAACCACUGGAAACGGUGGCUAAUACCGGAUACGACCCGCCUCGGCAUCGAGUGUGGGUGGAAAGUUUUUCGGCUGGGGAUGGGCUCGCGGCCUAUCAGCUUGUUGGUGAGGUGAAGGCUCACCAAGGCGACGACGGGUAGCCGGCCUGAGAGGGCGACCGGCCACACUGGGACUGAGAAACGGCCCAGAAUCCUACGGGAGGCAGCAGUGGGGAAUAUUGCACAAUGGGCGAAAGCCUGAUGCAGCGACGCCGCGUGAGGGAUGACGGCCUUCGGGUUGUAAACCUCUUUCAGCUCCGAAGAGGCGAAAGUGACGGUAGGAGCAGAAGAAGCACCGGCUAACUACGUG
rnacentral:rRNA from 1 species